CUCCUUUACCUUCCAUAUUUUCUUACUCAGAAGCCCCAGGACUAUUUAUUCCACUCCUUCGUCCGUUGCCGAAUCCGAGCUCUUGAACCCUAAUGCCCGUUCCCCAACUAAUAGCUUGCAAGAAGGAAAUCGGGGGCCUCCUUCGUGGAUCCUAGUGCUUUGGAAAUUACGAUCGGUGGUGGAGCCGACAGGGGCGGUGGUGGCGCCGGCGCCGGCGGCCGGUCGGUUCUGCCGCGCCGGACCGGAAGGAGAGGCCCAUGGGGGCUUAGCUUUCACAUUUGCGCCAGGUUUGGAGCUGGACAACACAACUUUCAUGGUUUUCCUAAUUUGAAAUCCAUGUAAAUUAAUCAGUAUAAUUCCUAUGAUACAUUGACAUCGAGAAUGCCUGUCCUGGGCCUGGAGUCAGAAGAUCACUGGAACCGCUUCAGCAGGUCAAAACCAACUGAAAAAGAUCCUGUAUGGCAUUUUUUUUUUUCCAGUGACAGGAUCUCAGCCAUCAACCAUUCUCUGUUCCAGAGUUCUUGCAUCAACCACCAGACCUGUCUGCCUGUCUCCUUAGCACUUGAGAAUAUGGUUGUAUCAGCCUGUAAAGAAGAUCCUGCUCAAGUAAGCUUCUCUUUCUUUGAAUGUCAGUUGGCAGCAUUAUCGACCCUGGUCGCAAUCUUUGCAAUUAAGUUAGCUGUUGGAAUCCUUCCACAUGCAGAUGAAAUUUCUCAUACUUGAGGCAUUACAGGGUUUCUUUUCUUGGAUCUGUGAUUCUUGUUCAGUCUUAGAAUGGAUAUUAUGGUUUUUAUUUCUUGGUACAGAUUAAUGGAAAUAUAUUGCAACAUACAUUUUUUUCUUGAGAUAGGAUCAUAUGUACUAAGAAUAUAAUACUUCAACUUUAUUGGUCUAUAACCACGUAUUUGCUUGUUUGAUCCAA